ensembl:lncRNA
CGGCGAAGCCCAGCACAGGUGUGCAUUUAGAACUGAAACAGCGUUUGGGACCAGACUCGCUUUAGAAGAACCUGACAGGGUGACCGGGACACCAGAAUGGAAAUCACUGAGAAAUAAUAAUAAAAGGGUUAGUCUACUCAAAAAUGAAAAUUCGUUUAUCUUUAUUAAAGUACUGUAUUAUGCCAUUCUGGAUAUUGCCAUUCAUGCAGUGUGUUAUGAAGCUGAAUUUGAAUGUAAAUGAUCUGCAAAGUUGUAAAGCCGAAAGUGCACAAUAAGUAAAGUUAUUGUCUCCGAAAAGAAAGAAUCGACUCUGAACAGCCGAAACGAGUAGUCAGUAAUUUGAAUCCUACUUCUGUGACGGCUUAACAUCACUGCUAACACAUCUGCAUUAUGCCUGCCUGUGUUCUACGAACAACUGGACCCGGACGCAAACCCUGCAGCUCGUUUGCAUGGUUAACAUCAUGUCUAGAAGACGCUGUGAAAGUAAAUCUGUUUUAUUUUCACUUCCAAAAGACGAGGCUGCAAAGAAUCAGUGGUUAAAUUCACAGCAGUACAACCCCAAUCUUGUUUGUGUUCCUGUCUCACAAACUCUUGCUCUGAGAGAUGAAUCAGUAUCCAGUUUAUUUGGACCUGCUGACUCCACUGAAUCACUACCUCUUCUCUGAGCUUGGCAUCAAUGUCUGUCAGCUGGCUCUGGAUCAGCAGCAUCUCCACCUCCAGCACAGUGCUCAUCACUUUGUUGUACCAGCUGGCUGUGAGCUCUUGAUUGGUCACAUACUGCCAUAGCAGCUCUCUGUUGAAAUAAAUGUCUGCAGCCAUAUCUGGGAUGACUCCA